rnacentral:rRNA from 1 species
CCUACGGGAGGCAGCAGUGGGGAAUCUUGCACAAUGGGGGCAACCCUGAUGCAGCGACGCCGCGUGAGCGAUGAAGCCCUUCGGGGUGUAAAGCUCUUUCGGCAGGGAAGAUUAUGACGGUACCUGCAGAAGCAGCACCGGCUAACUACGUGCCAGCAGCCGCGGUAAUACGUAGGCAGCAAGCGUUGUUCGGAGUUACUGGGCGUAAAGGGUGUGUAGGCGGUUGCUUAAGUUUGGUGUGAAAUCUCCCGGCUCAACUGGGAGGGUGCGCCGAAUACUGAAUGACUCGAGUGCGGGAGAGGAAAGUGGAAUUCCUGGUGUAGCGGUGAAAUGCGUAGAUAUCAGGAGGAACACCGGUGGUGUAAACGGCUCUCUGGACCGUAACUGACGCUGAAACACGAAAGCGUGGGUAGCAAACAGGAUUAGAUACCCUGGUAGUCCACGCCCUAAACGAUGCAUAUUUGGUGUGGGUCAUUCAGUUGAUCCGUGCCGGAGCUAACGCGUUAAAUAUGCCGCCUGGGGAGUACAGUCGCAAGGCUGAAACUCAAAGGAAUUGACGG